rnacentral:rRNA from 1 species
CCCGAUUAUUUAACUUUCAUGGGCCGGUCGGGGGCCUAAUACUGCAAGUCGAGCGGACAGAUGGGAGCUUGCUCCCUGAUGUUAGCGGCGGACGGGUGAGUAACACGUGGGUAACCUGCCUGUAAGACUGGGAUAACUCCGGGAAACCGGGGCUAAUACCGGAUGGUUGAUUGAACCGCAUGGUUCAAUUAUAAAAGGUGGCUUCGGCUACCACUUACAGAUGGACCCGCGGCGCAUUAGCUAGUUGGUGAGGUAACGGCUCACCAAGGCAACGAUGCGUAGCCGACCUGAGAGGGUGAUCGGCCACACUGGGACUGAGACACGGCCCAGACUCCUACGGGAGGCAGCAGUAGGGAAUCUUCCGCAAUGGACGAAAGUCUGACGGAGCAACGCCGCGUGAGUGAUGAAGGUUUUCGCAUCGUAAAACUCUCGUUGUUAAGGAAGAACAAGUUACCGUUCGAAUAGAGCGGUACCUUGAUCGGUACCUAACCAGAAAGCCACAGCUAACUACGUGCCAGCAGCCGCGGUAAUUACGUAAGUGGCCAAGCGUUGUCCAGAAAUAUUGGGCGGUAAAGGGCUCGCAGGCGGUUUCUUAAGUCUGAUGGGAAAGCCCCCGGCUCAACCCGGGGAGGGUUCAAUGGAAACUGGGGAACCUGACGGCAAAAGAAGAGAAGUGAGAAUCUCACGUGUAACGGGGAAAGGCGUAGAAGAGUGGAAGGACACCAUUGGCGAAGCGGACUUCUUCGGUCUGUUACUGACGGCGAAGAGCGAAAACGUUGGGAACCGACAGGAAUAGGUUCCCUUGUAGUUCCACGCGUUAACGAAGAAUGGUUAAGUGUAAGAGGUUUUCGGCCCUUAGUUGUGCAAGCAACGCAUUAAGCCAUUCCCCUGGGGGAUUCGGUUGCCAGGCUGGAAAUCCAAGGGAAUGGCGGGGGGCCGCCCCAACGGUGGAACCAGGGGUUUAAUUUGGAACCACGGGAAGGACCUUUCCCGGUUUUGGCAUUCUUUGGCCAUCCUAGAGAUUAGGCGUUCCCUUUGGGGGCCGAAGGGCCAGGGGGGCCAGGGUGUUGUCAAGUUGGGUUGGGAGAAGGUGGGGUAAGUUCCGCCACGAAGGCCACCCUUGAUUUUUAUUGCCAACCAUCAAUUGGGCCCUUUUAGGGGGCUUCCGGGGGCCAACCGGAAGGAGGGGGGGGAGGCGGCAAAUUCUCAAGCCCCUUAAGGCCUGGGGUACCCCCGGUGUUCAAAGGGCAAAACAAAAGGCCAGGAAACCCGGAGGGUAAACCCAUUCCCCCAAUUUGUUUUCAAUUUGGAUUGCCAUUUGCCAAUUGGCUGGGUGAAAGUGGGAUUGGUUGUUAUUGGGGAUCAACCAUCCGCGGUGGAAUCGUUUCCGGGCCUUGGUCCCCCCCCCCGUCCCCCCCCGGGAAGUUUAACCCCCGAAGUUGGGAGGUUACCUUUAGGAGCCAGCCGCCGAAGGACAAGG